AUACAAAAAACUAGCCAGGCGUGGUGGCGGGUGCCUGUAGUCCCAGCUACUCUGGAGGCUGAGGCAGGAGAAUGGCCUGAACCCAGGUUUAAUAGCAUUCUUAACAUAAGUCAAAGGAGGAGGCAAAGCGAAGUUCUAUGAAGGCAUUCUGUAGGGCCAAGAAAAAGCAACGCAAGGGUGUGGCUCUCUGAUGAUCUAGUUUGAUCCAGGGAUAAAAUCUAAACUAGCAGAUAAUCAAUUUAUGCCUUUCAAAUUACCCAUUGUGAGAACCACUUCUUUUGACUGUUUGGAUAAUAGUUGAACAGCAGCCAGGUCAAAGUUAUGUUCUCUGGCAGAAGACUUGAGUAUGGACAUUUUCUUUUGCUCAAUAAGAAAGAUGCAUGCACUUAAUAAAAAAUCAACCAAGCGGGGAGUGGUGACUCACACCUGUAAUCCCAGCACUUUGGGAAGCCAAGGCGGGUGGAUCACCUGAGGUCAGGAGUUUGAGAGCAGCCUGGCCAACACGGUGAAACCCCAUCUCUACUAAAAAUACAAAACUUAGCCGGGCUUGGUGCAUGCUUGUAAUUCCAGCUACCUGGGUGGCCGAGGCAUGAGAAUCAGUUGAACCCAGGACGUGGAGGUUGCCGUGAGCUGAAAUCAUGCCUCUGCACUACAGCCUGGGCAAUAAAGCGAGACUCUGUC
rnacentral:lncRNA from 1 species